rnacentral:rRNA from 1 species
AACGCGAAGAACCUUACCUGGGUUUGACAUGCACAGGACGUGCCUAGAGAUAGGUAUUCCCUUGUGGCCUGUGUGCAGGUGGUGCAUGGCUGUCGUCAGCUCGUGUCGUGAGAUGUUGGGUUAAGUCCCGCAACGAGCGCAACCCUUAUCUUAUGUUGCCAGCGCGUAAUGGCGGGGACUCGUGAGAGACUGCCGGGGUCAACUCGGAGGAAGGUGGGGAUGACGUCAAGUCAUCAUGCCCCUUAUGUCCAGGGCUUCACACAUGCUACAAUGGCCGGUACAAAGGGCUGCGAUGCCGUGGAGGUGGAGCGAUCCUUACAAAGCCGGUCUCAGUUCGGAUCGGGGUCUGCAACUCGACCCCGUGAAGUCGGAGUCGCUAGUAAUCGCACAUCACCAACGCUGAG